GGGGUCAACCUCCAUUGUGACACUUCUAAACCCCACCAUCCAAAAUUCCCAAGGAGUGGCAGCUGGGGCCAGAAAUGGAGGGACCAGAACCACAGAACACAAACAAGGGUCCUUUGGCUGCGUUGACGUCUUCAAACAGCCCUGCUCAAGAAGCUCACGACCAGCAUCCCAGGGCUUGAGAAGACAAAAAUGGCAGCUGAGAGCUUUUCAACAUGGUAGGCAUUCCAAGCUUCCAGUGGGCUUUGUCCAGCAUGCUCUAACGAGACCUCCCUUGAAAUCGAUGUAUUCCAACCCAGGCUGGUUGACAGGCAAUAGGAAAGGCUGAGGAGAAGCUCUGCUGGGAUGGCUCUGCUGGAGCGAGCUACUGAUGAAAGGGGUCCACAAAGAAAAUGCACAGCCGACUGCGCAUGGCGCACAAACAUUUACCUUCUCAGACACCGGAACUAACGGCAGAAAAAUCAUCUGGAACAGGAAGGCAAUUAAAAGCCCAUUCCAGAAUGGAGAGGCAGAGGCUCUGCCCUGCUCUACCCUUGAAGAUGAUGAAGAAUAAUGUACCUCCCUGUCAAGGCUGUGUGUGGAUCAGAGCUUCGAGAGAGGCGGAGGGAGGGGCUCUCCAUAGAAACUAUGUAAAUGGCUUGGUGCAUAUGGCUUCAAAUACGUCGGAGCCCUAG
rnacentral:lncRNA from 1 species